rnacentral:miRNA from 1 species
UGCCACACGACUGCUCAGCUCA